UAUUUCUGAUUUCCCAGGUGAGUGCA
rnacentral:piRNA from 1 species